AUUGAACGCUGGCGGCAGGCUUAACACAUGCAAGUCGAGCGGGGUGAUGGUGCUUGCACUAUCACUUAGCGGCGGACGGGUGAGUAAUGCUUAGGAAUCUGCCUAUUAGUGGGGGACAACAUCUCGAAAGGGAUGCUAAUACCGCAUACGACCUACGGGAGAAAGCAGGGGAUCACUUGUGACCUUGCGCUAAUAGAUGAGCCUAAGUCGGAUUAGCUAGUUGGUGGGGUAAAGGCCUACCAAGGCGACGAUCUGUAGCGGGGCUGAGAGGAUGAUCCGCCUCACUGGGACUGAGACACGGCCCAGACUCCUACGGGAGGCAGCAGUGGGGAAUAUUGGACAAUGGGGGGAACCCUGAUCCAGGCAUGCCGCGUGUGUGAAGAAGGCCUUAUGGUUGUAAAGCACUUUAAGCGAGGAGGAGGCUCUUUUGGUUAAUACCCAAGAUGAGUGGACGUUACUCGCAGAAUAAGCACCGGCUAACUCUGUGCCAGCAGCCGCGGUAA
rnacentral:rRNA from 1 species